UACGGGGGGGGCAAGCGUUGUUCGGAAUUACCGGGCGUAAAGGGCUCGUAGGCGGCCAACUAAGUCAGACGUGAAAUCCCUCGGCUUAACCGGGGAACUGCGUCUGAUACUGGAUGGCUUGAGAUUGGGAGAGGGAUGCGGAAUUCCAGGUGUAGCGGUGAAAUGCGUAGAUAUCUGGAGGAACACCGGUGGCGAAGGCGGCAUCCUGGGCCAACACUGACGCUGAGUGAGCGAAAGCCAGGGGAGCAAACGGG
rnacentral:rRNA from 1 species